UACCUACGGGACGCAGCAGUGGGGAAUAUUGCACAAUGGGGGGAAACCCUGAUGCGGCGACGCCGCGUGAAGGAAGAAGUAUUUCGGUAUGUAAACUUCUAUCAGCAGGGAAGAAAAUGACGGUACCUGACUAAGAAGCCCCGGCUAGCUACGUGCCAGCAGCCGCGGUAAUACGUAGGGGGCAAGCGUUAUCCGGAUUUACUGGGUGUAAAGGGAGCGUAGGCGGUAAUGCAAGUCAGAAGUGAAAGCCCGGGGCUCAACUCCGGGACUGCUUUUGAAACUGUGUUACUAGAUUGCAGAAGAGG
rnacentral:rRNA from 1 species